rnacentral:lncRNA from 1 species
CCUUUACUACCAAGUGUUACCUGUGGAACUGUGGAGCCUUGGAGCAUUGUUGAACCAAUUCGUAACAUAGUCAGAAAGAACUCUCAAGUCAACCAAGUACUAAGCUAAAAUUUUCAGGUAGUGACAGUCGGAGAAAUUCAAGGAGGUGAAUGAUACUUUCAAUCAUGUGAGCAUGUUGGGAGUGGACCAACUCGAUGCUAUUCUUCUCAUCAAAAUUGGAUUGAUAUAAGAUGAUGUUGGAUAUGGCUAAUGUUUAAAAUCACCACAGGAAAUUCAUCGUUUAAGUGGAUUUAG